GGCAUGGUAGCUCAGGGGUUAGAGCACCUGGUGCAGAUGUGGGAAGGCCUGGGUUCAAAUCCCACGUGGGUCA